rnacentral:rRNA from 1 species
AUACGGAGGGUCCAAGCGUUAUCCGGAUUUAUUGGGUUUAAAGGGUGCGUAGGCGGUUAGAUAAGUUAGAGGUGAAAUACCGGUGCUUAACACCGGAACUGCCUCUAAUACUGUUUAGCUAGAGAAUAGUUGCGGUAGGCGGAAUGUAUGGUGUAGCGGUGAAAUGCUUAGAGAUCAUACAGAACACCGAUUGCGAAGGCAGCUUACCAAGCUAUUUCUGACGUUGAGGCACGAAAGCGUGGGGAGC